rnacentral:misc_RNA from 1 species
ACAAUUACCGAAGAUUACCGAGCGUCGCUUCUCUGCCUGCAGGACUGAGUGCUCAAGUUUUGAGGAAACUGCGUCAAGUCAACUAAGUUUGGCAAUUGGAUUUGUUGUGAUUUAAAGAUAAGCAGCGAUGGCAGAAACAACUGGACAGGACCUUAAGCAAGAAGUCGUUGAUACUGAUCUUGGAAGGUUCAAUGUUUAUUUGCAAGGCGACCUCGGCCAUGCUGAAGCCAUUAUUCUCACAGUUCAUGACCUGGGAUGUAACCAUACCAUGUACAAUGACUUUGUGAACCAUCCAAGCAUGAAAGAGUUGACCUCUAGGGUGGUCUGGAUUCAUGUGGAUCUGCCUGGACAGGAGGAAAAUGCACCAGAUCUGCCUGCAGACUACCGUUUCCCAACCAUGGCUGAAAUGGGUGGCUGCUUAGGGGUGGUGCUAGACAAAUUGGGUGUGACAAGGCCUGUCAUGUGCUUUGGGGAAGGAGCUGGUGCCAACAUCUUGGCAAGAUUUGCUAUCUGUCACCCCAUGAAAGUGCAUGGACUAUGUUUGAUUCACUGCACUGGAACCACUGCAGGGAUAAUGGAGACCAUGAAAGAUAAAGUGAUGCAGUGGAAGCUAGAUCAUUUUGGCAUGACCCCCUCUACUGCAGCCUACCUUGUCAUGCACAGAUUUGGAUCGACCUGGCAGCAAGAAGGGAAGAAGUUUGAGGCUGUUGAUAAGCAGAUGGAGCAAAUUGUAGAAGACUUCCGGAAUAAACUUAAGAAGGAGGUGAACCCAAAGAAUCUGACCAAAUUUGUGGAUUCUUUUAUGAAACGUUCGGAACUCUUGCCAGACCUUAAAAACAUAACCUGCUUUGUGUUGCUGGUGACAGGGGAGAAGGCCUCCUUUAAUCAUACAUGCAAAACCCUAGAGGUGAAUUUUAGGAAAAGCAUUGAAAACAAGAAAAAACUGGAGUCACUGGAAGUUGAAGGUGUAGCUAAUGUUAUUGUGGAGAGACCUGAGAAACUCGCAGAGGCCUUCUUAUACUUCAUGCAAGGUGCAGGUUUAGUGUCAGGGAUACCAAUGGUACGCCAUUGAGAGCUAGGCCAAUUCCCAGUGUCACCAUAACAUACAUACAAUGCUAGGAACACUGUAUAGAUAUGUUAUAGGGUUCACAGUAUACAUGAUCUACCACACCUGGACCAGCAGUUGACUUCUAUGUUUCUUAUUGUGCAGACAGGCAAAAUCAUUCUUAUAUUUAAGGGCAUUAGAUCAUGGUGUAUAGAUUUGUUGGUAAUCCAGUUAAGAAAAGAUUUCAUUUUUACUGUCGGCAUUUAUCCACAUUUGAAAACACAUAUAUUUAUUUAAAUUUGUAGAAAUGUAAUGGUUUUGCCAGUCUUUUUCACAUUACAUAUUUUAUAAACAACACUUUUAUAGUAACAUAACUUUUUUAUGCAAAUCGGUUAGCAAUUUUACAAGAAUCAUUUCAUAACAGGAUUCAAACACUUACCUUUAUGCAAAGAAAUCCAUGUUGAUUUUAAAAUACAUACAAUUAAAUCUUUACAGGGAAUUAUUCAGGGUCCUCUGUACGCAUGAUAGAAAGUAAUUCAUAACAUUAUUACACACAUCGUAAUCUCUCUGGUAACUUAUUUCAGUGGAGAAUUGAAUAUUUAAUGACAUUUGUUUUACUCAGUAAGUGCUUGCAGUAAACAUAUAAGAUAAUAUUAGUAACUUGGAUGAUGCUUGGUGUUGUUUAUGUGUGUUCUCAUACCAAUAUCACAGGCAUGGUAUUUGUUUUCCAGUUUAGCUUAAUUGCAUUGGUGUAAAGCUUAGCUUUGAAAUUUACCAAACUUUAAACUUAAUUCUUUUUUAAAAAGUUUGUUUUGCUAAAGCAUACUCAUAUAUAUGCUCUAUUUUGCAAUCAAAAUGAUCAGUCGCAGCACUUUUGUAGGUUCUGAAAGGCAUGAAAGUCGUCACCAGAUUGACUCUGUUUAAAACAGCCUGCUGUAGCAAGCACUAUCCUUUGUUUCUGUAUAAGAAGUGUUAUAUCAUAUAAUCAUAUGUAUCUAUGUUUGUUUGUAGCAUAUGUUUAGAUUGUUUGAAUAUCAUAACCUGAAAAAAUGGUUUAGGUUGGUUCUUGAUGCUUUGAAAUAAUAUAAAUGUACCUCUGCAUCACAAAACAAAAUGGUUUCUCUGUUCCCAUGAAACAGUUUGCUCCACUAAGUGGCUCUGGAUAUACAGCGGAAAGUGUACCACAAACAAAGCGUGGCACUAAAAAGACCAGUGGAAUAAAAGUUUUACUUUAACAUUUAAGUGCUAUUAAUAGGAAAAUAAUUGAAGUGCCAUUCAAAAUUUUAUUUCUUAAAAAGUUUGGGAUGCUGUGGAUAUAGUUUUGCUUUUCAACUUGAGUUAUAUCAAUUUUAACUGAUAUAAAGAUUUUCGAUGAUUUGACUGGCAGUGCAGAUCAAUGCAUUAAAUGCUUUUAUUACGAGGAUAUAUAUGUUUAUAUAAUGGUAUUUUCUUUUUAUUAACCUGAAUUAUUAGUUCUAGUUCUGAAUGGUUUGCUUAUACAAAAUUUGUGUCAGACCUUAAGUAGAAGCAAGUAUUAAUGUCAUUAUGCCUUACCGGUGAAUACUGCCCUCUUCUGCACAUUUUGAGUGGUUUAUACAUUUAGAGUACUUUAAUUACAGUAUGUGUGAGAACCAAAACAGUACAUACACCACCAUUUAUUGGACUUGAAUGACAGUAUUGAACAGACUUUUCCAUUUGUGAAUGAACAUAAUGGUCAAGUACUGGUUCUUAAAGUUUUUGGUUUCAGUACAAUGUAUGCAAAGUCAUGUGCAGAAAAGGGAAUAUGACAUCACUGUAAUUAGUAGAUGUAUAUGUAUUGUUUCUGUACAUAGGAAACCCACUGUGUUUAGUGUAUUUGUGUGAUCUAUGGUAUGGAAUAAAUACAUAUUCUUAGUUCAAACUUUGUAGUUCAUUUGUCAUACUUGGUAACUUUUUAUUUAAAAUAGUACCUUAACUGUUUAUUUUUUUUGAAACAAUACAAGUAACUGGAAAGAUGGUAAACAUAUUGUUUGUUUCGUCUAACUACUGGUCCAUGAAGGCUGCUCUUUUUUAUGUGAAUUUGAUUUGAUAGGCCCAUGCGAACAAGGCUGGGAUGAAUACUUUACUAGAAGUUUUGUGGUAAAAACUGAGUUACAGUUCACGUAAGAAUAAAAGGGAAUGUGCUGAUGAGCACUUGGCAUUUGAAGCAUUACGUUUAUGAAAAUAUGUAUUGAAGUUAACAGCAAUGUGUAAGAAUAGAAUGUAUUAAAGCAUAUGGCAUUUGAAGCAUUCUGUUCAUAUGUACAUGUACUGAAGAUAACACCACCACCAUACUGGUAGAUACAGUAGCUGGGAUUCAAAUGGAAACGGCAAAUUUUUUUAGCAGAUGGAAUUCAUGAAGGAAAAUAAUUCACAGAAUGUUUGUUCAAGAUUCAGGCUAACAUGUGCAGUUUGUGAAUUUGUAGUAUUUUUUGUAGUAGAUAGACUUGUAGUUUUGUGUGAAUUUCUAAAAAUUUAUUUGCAUGUUCAUUUUCUUAUCUUAAAGGAUUGAAAAUGGCAUAUAGUGGGUAGUUAGAGAGCAGUUUUAUGAAGGUCUGAUACACAACCUCAAAAGCAAUUCUCAUCUAAAGCUUGUGCAUCAAUCAUAUACGAGUAUUUGAUACAAAGGGAAAGAUACCUUUCCCAUUUAGCAUCCACCCUUUACUAAUUCUGUACUCCUAAAAAUGUUUUGUGCCGCUGCAUAUACAUUUGUAACACUCUUUGCCAAAUAUCCAUGUUUCUGUGGAAACAAGCAAGAUUAAGCCUCAGAAAUUGAUCAAGAACAGAUGGUAGACAGACGAAAAUUCCCCAAGAUGUAUUCAGCAGUCAAAGUACUUCCUUAAAUCUGAUCAUUUAUAAAAUUUUUGCCUAUUUUGGGGGGAAAUUAAUCCAUUUGCCUCCCCCCCCCCCCUUGCAUAUAAUUCUUUGAGGUUGUGCCUUAGAUCUUUACAAAGUUGGAACCCUUCAGGAAAGGUCAUAGCCUAACUACUAACUGCAUUUUAGCUGGUUCACUGUAACAAUGGUGCAUAAUAGGAUGACAAGGCUUUUACACAUGCACAAUGUAUUAGAUAGUGGGUUUAGCUUUUUUCUCAACAUUUCUUACAUUUGACAAGCAGGAUUCUGAGAAGCCCCAGAGAAACAGGUUUGCAGUCUUGACAUGUGUGACUUCAUUUGGGAUGGGGCAUAAUUUAUGCUACUGACUAAAAAUCUAUAGUGGUUUCCUUUUAUUGAUUAACCAAUCCUUUCUAUUGUAAAACAGUCCAAUUAGUAGGUAGUAGUAGGGGUUGUUGAUGGAAAGGUUUAAUACAUUUUAUUUUAUAUAGAAACCUCAUAGAAAUUUUAACUUUUUUACCAAAUCAUGUUACAAAUGAAAAAUCAACAUGGAAAACUAGUGCUGAAAUGGCAGGUAGUGACUGAAAUGAAACCAACUGAUUAGUCUCCCAUUUCUUGAUUGAGAGUUUGUAAUUUAACAAAUUUUACUUACCUUGCAGGUCCGUAGCCAGCAAUUUCAAAAGGGGGGGUUCUUUUUCUGAAAAAUU